rnacentral:rRNA from 1 species
UACGUAGGGGGCGAGCGUUGUCCGGAUUUAUUGGGCGUAAAGCGCGCGCAGGCGGUUCGUUAAGUCCGAUGUGAAAGCUCCCGGCUCAACUGGGAGAGGUCUUCGGAUACUGGCGAACUCGAGGGAGGCAGAGGAAGGUGGGAUUCCGGGUGUAGUGGUGAAAUGCGUAGAGAUCUGGAGGAACACCAGUGGCGAAGGCGGCCUUCUGGGCCUUUCCUGACGCUGAGGCGCGAAAGCGUGGGGAGCGAACCGG